rnacentral:rRNA from 1 species
AACAACUCUCAGCAACGGAUAUUUUGGCUCUUGCAACGAUGAAGAACGCAGCGAAAUGCGAUACGUAGUGUGAAUUGCAGAAUUUCGCGAAUCAUCGAGUCUUUGAACGCAAGUUGCGCCCGAGGCUUGACCAAGGGCAUCCCUGCCAGAGCGUCACC